rnacentral:rRNA from 1 species
UACGUAGGGUGCAAGCGUUGUCCGGAUUUAUUGGGCGUAAAGAGCGUGUAGGCGGUCAUGUAGGUCCGUUGUGAAACUCGAGGCUCAACCUCGAGACGCCGAUGGAAACCAUCUGGCUAGAGUCCGGAAGAGGAGAGUGGAAUUCCUGGUGUAGCGGUGAAAUGCGCAGAGUAUCAGGAAGAACACCCGUGGCGAAGGCGGCUCUCUGGGACGGUACUGGACGCUGAGACGCGAAAGCGUGGGGAGCGAACAGG